UCGUGAAGUUUCGUUGACAGUCCCUUCGGCGUGCAGAUAUAACCGUGCUGUUGCGGGUUUGGAAGCCGGUGGAAAUCCGGCGCGGUCGCGCCACUGUGACCAGUGUGUCGAAAGCUCUUCACGCUGGAAGUCAGACCCUGCCGCACAACACUCUUU
rfam:Rhizobium etli CFN 42, complete genome.